GCCGAGGUGGCGGAAUUGGUAGACGCGCUAGGUUUAGGUCCUAGUGGGCUAUGCCCGUGGAGGUUCGAGUCCUCUCCUCGGUACCA
rnacentral:tRNA from 1 species